GUGGGUAGUCCGCACGAGCGCACCUUAUCCUUAUUUGCCAGCACGUAAUGGUGGGAACUCUAAGGAGACUGCCGGUGAUAAACCGGAGGAAGGUGGGGACGACGUCAAGUCAUCAUGGCCCUUACGCCCAGGGCUACACACGUGCUACAAUGGCCGGUACAAAGGGCUGCAAUCCCGCGAGGGGGAGCGAAUCCCAAAAAGCCGGUCUAAGUUCGGAUUGUAGUCUGCAACUCGACUGCAUGAAGUCGGAAUCGCUAGUAAUCGUGUAUCAGCAACGACACGGUGAAUACGUUCCCGGGCCUUGUACACACCGCCCGUCAAGCCAUGGAAGCCGGGAGUGCCCGAAGUCCGUGACCCAACUUCGUGAGGAAGCGGCCGAAGGUAAGUUCGGUGACUGGGGCUAAGUCGUAACAAGGUAGCCGUAGGGGAACCUGCGGCUGGAUCACCUCCUUU
rnacentral:rRNA from 1 species